rnacentral:rRNA from 1 species
UACGGAGGGGGCUAGCGUUGUUCGGAAUUAUUGGGCGUAAAGGGCGCGUAGGCGGCGGAGUAAGUCAGACGUGAAAUCCCUCGGCUCAACCGAGGAACUGCGUCUGAAACUGCUCUGCUUGAGGCCAGGAGAGGAGAGUGGAAUUCCCAGUGUAGCGGUGAAAUGCGUAGAUAUUGGGAGGAACACCGGUGGCGAAGGCGGCUCUCUGGACUGGUUCUGACGCUGAGGCGCGAAAGCUAGGGGAGCAAACAGG